rnacentral:rRNA from 1 species
GCAGCAGUGGGGAAUAUUGCACAAUGGGCGCAAGCCUGAUGCAGCCAUGCCGCGUGUGUGAAGAAGGCCUUCGGGUUGUAAAGCACUUUCAGUCGUGAGGAAGGUGGUGUUGUUAAUAGCAGCAUCAUUUGACGUUAGCGACAGAAGAAGCACCGGCUAACUCCGUGCCAGCAGCCGCGGUAAUACGGAGGGUGCGAGCGUUAAUCGGAAUUACUGGGCGUAAAGCGCAUGCAGGUGGUUUGUUAAGUCAGAUGUGAAAGCCCGGGGCUCAACCUCGGAAUAGCAUUUGAAACUGGCAAGCUAGAGUACUGUAGAGGGGGGUAGAAUUUCAGGUGUAGCGGUGAAAUGCGUAGAGAUCUGGGGGAAUACCGGUGGCGAAGGCGGCCCCCUGGACAGAUACUGACACUCAGAUGCGAAAGCGUGGGGAGCAAACAGGAUUAGAUACCCUGGUAGUCCACGCCGUAAACGAUGUCUACUUGGAGGUUGUGGCCUUGAGCCGUGGCUUUCGGAGCUGACGCGUUAAGUAGACCGCCUGGGGAGUACGGUCGCAAGAUUAAAACUCAAAUGAAUUGACGGGGGCCCGCACAAGCGGUGGAGCAUGUGGUUUAAUUCGAUGCAACGCGAAGAACCUUACCUACUCUUGACAUCUACAGAAUCCUGCGGAGACGCGGGAGUGCCUUCGGGAACUGUAAGACAGGUGCUGCAUGGCUGUCGUCAGCUCGUGUUGUGAAAUGUUGGGUUAAGUCCCGCAACGAGCGCAACCCUUAUCCUUGUUUGCCAGCGAGUAAUGUCGGGAACUCCAGGGAGACUGCCGGUGAUAAACCGGAGGAAGGUGGGGACGACGUCAAGUCAUCAUGGCCCUUACGAGUAGGGCUACACACGUGCUACAAUGGCGCAUACAGAGGGCAGCGAACUUGCGAGAGUAAGCGAAUCCCAAAAAGUGCGUCGUAGUCCGGAUUGGAGUCUGCAACUCGACUCCAUGAAGUCGGAAUCGCUAGUAAUCGUGAAUCAGAAUGUCACGGUGAAUACGUUCCCGGGCCUUGUACACACCGCCCGUCACACCAUGGGAGUGGGCUGCAAAAGAAGCAGGU